ACUGGCAAACCAGUUGACAUGUUGUUACCACUUUCUCUAAUGCUUGCCCAAGCAAGCAUUAGAGAAAGUGGUAACAACAUGUCAACUGGCAAAGCAAG
rnacentral:pre_miRNA from 1 species